AAGGCUACGAUGGUUAGCUGGUCUGAGAGGAUGAUCAGCCACACUGGAACUGACACACGGUCCAGACUCCUACGGGAGGCAGCAGUGAGGAAUUUUGCGCAAUGGGGGAAACCCUGACGCAGCAACGCCGCGUGAGUGAUGAAGGCCUUCGGGUCGUAAAGCUCUGUCAAGUGGGAAGAACCUGCAUCAUGCAAAUACCGUGAUGCACUGACGGUACCACUGAAGGAAGCACCGGCUAACUCCGUGCCAGCAGCCGCGGUAAUACGGAGGGUGCGAGCGUUAUUCGGAAUUAUUGGGCGUAAAGAGCACGUAGGCGGCCCCUUAAGUCAGAUGUGAAAGCCCGGGGCUCAACCCCGGAAGGGCAUUUGAAACUGGGGGGCUUGAGUAUGGGAGAGGGAAGUGGAAUUCCUGGUGUAGAGGUGAAAUUCGUAGAUAUCAGGAGGAACACCGGUGGCGAAGGCGACUUCCUGGACCAAUACUGACGCUGAGGUGCGAAGGCGGGGGAGCAAACAGGAUUAGAUACCCUGGUAGUCCACGCAGUAAACGGUGAACACUAGGUGUAGCGGGUAUUGACCCCUGCUGUGCCGAAGCUAACGCAUUAAGUGUUCCGCCUGGGGAGUACGGCCGCAAGGUUAAAACUCAAAGGAAUUGACGGGGGCCCGCACAAGCGGUGGAGCAUGUGGUUUAAUUCGACACAACGCGAAGAACCUUACCUGGGCUUGACAUCCUGGGAAAUCCCUUGAAAAAGGGAUGUGUCUUUCGGGAAACCCGGAGACAGGUGCUGCAUGGCUGUCGUCAGCUCGUGUCGUGAGAUGUUGGGUUAAGUCCCGCAACGAGCGCAACCCUCAUCUUUAGUUGCCAUCAUUUAGUUGGGCACUCUAAAGAGACUGCCCCGGUCAACGGGGAGGAAGGUGGGGACGACGUCAAGUCCUCAUGGCCCUUAUGCCCAGGGCUACACACGUGCUACAAUGGGCUGUACAAAGGGUAGCGAACCUGCGAAGGUGAGCCAAUCUCAAAAAGCAGCUCUCAGUUCGGAUUGGAGUCUGCAACUCGACUCCAUGAAGGUGGAAUCGCUAGUAAUCGUGGAUCAGCAUGCCACGGUGAAUACGUUCCCGGGCCUUGUACACACCGCCCGUCACACCAUGAGAGUUGGCUGUACCAGAAGUUGUUGGGCUAACCCCGCUUCGGCGGGGAGGCAGGCACCUAAGGUAUGGCUGAUAAUUGGGGUGAAGUCGUAACAAGGUA
rnacentral:rRNA from 1 species